rnacentral:rRNA from 1 species
GACGAACGCUGGCGGCGUGCUUAACACAUGCAAGUCGAACGGAAAGGCCCUGCUUUUGUGGGGUGCUCGAGUGGCGAAAGGGUGAGUAACACGUGAGUAACCUGCCCUUGACUUUGGGAUAACUUCAGGAAACUGGGGCUAAUACCGGAUAGGAGCUCCUGCUGCAUGGUGGGGGUUGGAAAGUUUCGGCGGUUGAGGAUGGACUCGCGGCUUAUCAGCUUGUUGGUGGGGUAGUGGCUUACCAAGGCAUGGACGGGUAGCCGGCCUGAGAGGGUGACCGGCCACAUUGGGACUGAGAUACGGCCCGGACUCCUACGGGAGGCAGCAGUGGAGAACUUUGCACGAUGGGCGGAAGCCUGAUGCAGCAACGCCGCGUGCUGGAUGACGGCCUUCGGGUUGUAAACCGCUUUCGCCUGGGACGAAGCGUGAGUGACGGUAAUGGGUAAAGAAGCACCGGCUAACUACGUG